rnacentral:rRNA from 1 species
GUUUAUUGCCAUACCACCCUGAACACGCCCGAUCUCGUGUGAUCUCGGAAGCUAAGCAGGGUCGGGCCUGGUUAGUACUUGCAUGGGAGGCCACCUGGAAAUACGGGGUGCUGUAGGCU